rnacentral:lncRNA from 1 species
AAACAUAUUAAGCCCUAGUUUGAUAUUGAGACUUAUCUGAUGCUAUUAGAUAAAAUAAAGUUUGAAUAAAAAUAUAUAAAGAUAUAUUUCUACAUUCUCCGGUGAGACAGAAAAUACAUGACUCAUCCCGAUGUGCAGAAUGUAAUAUUAUGUACGGAAAUAAAUAAGAUAUUUUUCCGUCGUACUUUCUCACCGCACACAACACAAUCUUUUCGCAAUUUCAAACAAUAAGUUGUUAGUGUGUCUGAAC